rnacentral:sRNA from 1 species
AAGGAAGAGAAAAUGCAUUUUUCCAUCAAAGCUAUGAUGCCAACGAUGAUUUUGCAGUUCAAUUUUAUGGGAAAUUGAAAGGAAAAAUGUUUUUUGUCCCAGAAUACAAUAAAAUCAAUCAAUCGAUAUGCCAAUGAAAACGUCGGCAAGCUUUUUAAGUUACAACUCCAUGGCCUUGUGACUGAAUAGUGUUCGUGUGUCAAGAUUUCAAUGGGGUGUGUUGCAAAAAACACCCAUAAAAAUAAGGUCUUUGUUUGGCGCAAAGGGUAUCGUUAUUUUCUAAAGUCAUCAUUUUCAAGCCAUAAAAUUGUUUUAUGUUUGUAGUUCUUGUAAAAAUAUACAAAUUAUAAACAUGCCAUAAAAGGUAGAA